GUAUCAUUUAAAGAUGUCAUCAAUGUAAAAUAUUCUUAAUGAGAUGCUUCACGUUCGUUUUUGGUACCAGAUUCUUGAAACCUGGUGUGUAUUUUACAGGUACACAUCACCUUGGACUAGCCAUGGAUCAACUGCUCAGGAGCCACAUUUGCUCAGCGGCUUCCUCAUGAAGAAUUCCUUUGCAGAAUUUGAGACAUGGCGAAAGGAUUAGUGUCAGUAUUGGGGGCGGAAGCAGAGAGACACACAGAAGGAGAAUUCUAAGUAGAAGCCUUGAGUCAACAUUGGCCAUGGGUGAGUAGGAGGCAUGAAUUCACAGAAAUUAUGAGUCAGCAGAAACGGAUAGAGCAUGGAGUGGGGGUAGCAGAGGAAGAAGCCAAGACCCAGAGACGCUGAGUCACCGCGAUGGCGGUACCCAGGGUACCGAGCGAGGAGGCCCCCUGAGUGGGGCGCCUGAGAGUGCUCCCACUGAGUUACAGAGCUGCUGUGGGGCGGCUGGAGUUACUGCUGUAACCCGAAACUCUUCCAGCCUCUGGGAGCCCUGGUUGGGUGGCUAAAACUUUGGUCUUCCUAAUCUCCUAAUGAACUCGAGGUUGUUUCCCUUCCUUGCAACCUGCAAGAACCUGACCUGUACACCAGCCAUGUCCAAACUCCUCUGAGACUCAGUUGCCUCCCCUGGGAAAUGGGGACAGCUGUUGCUUUGGGUUGUUCAGCAUGUCUUGCUGGGGUGAUGACUUUUGUCUGACACUUUGCAGUUCUGGGCCUGCCAGUCAUGGGAGCACCCCCCGACAAGGUGGCCGUGUAAUCCAGGCUGGCCCUGUCAGACUCUCCAGGGCAGAGAUUUGCUUCGGAAGCAGAGACACCUCUGGAGCAGGGUUGGAACCCCCGAGAUUGUUCCUGGGUUCCUCUGGCUGGGAUCUUCUGAGCCAUCCUGGUUCCUGUUUUCCAAGGCCUGUUUAUUCGGGAGUUUCCCAAUUGCCUUGACAGAUCCCCUAUUCCUGUUUGAGCAAUAACAUAGACUGGACCCACACUGUGCAAGGUUGCUCUGAAGUGAAAUAAGUGACUCCUAGACAGGCCCUCCUGUCUGUUGUUCCCUCCCUGUGCUCUCGCUCCACCUGACACGUCUCCAAUGCUUACCUAACAUCUCUGGGCUCAGUGUCCCCGAAGUAGCCCAGUGUUUUCCCCCUUUGAGAGAAGACGCUAAGCCUAAACCAGCCCCCAGUGUGCCGUGGGCUUUGCCUAGUCCUUGCCAGGUGCCUCUUCCUCACACUUCAGCUUCUCUUCUGCAUAAUGUGAGAAUAGGGGGUGACUCUGGGAUCCACGUCAAAUGAGGGCUCCUCUCUGCAGUACCACAGCACUCCCUGUAGGCGGCAGCAUAUGACCACAAAUGUCCUGGAGUGUCGGUCCAGAGCUCAAGACGAGACUGAAGAGAGGUCUUGGCCAGACGCUGCGGAAGAGCGUUUGUUAGCUUGAGGAGCGGAGGGUGCGGGAGGGAGCGGGAAGGAAGGUGGGCGUGUCGCUGGCCUUGAGGCAAAAAGAGACUGGGUCUGAGGUUUGGAAGACGGAAGUGGUGGUAUACCCAAUCCCUCCACCCAUCUGUCCAGCCGUCCAGCCAGCAAAUAUUUUUGAGCACCUGCACGGGGCUCUGGGGAUGCUUCAGUGAACAAGACGGACUCAGACAGUCCCGGUCCUCACUGAGCUGGUACCUGAACUUAGAACCAUCGUUUUUUUCCAACAGCCAUUAUGGGGCACACCCCUUUGCCUUCUGGGCUGGUUUGCCCCACUGCAAGAUGGGAUAAUGAACUGCGUCCCUCACAGGUCUGUGGAGAGGCUUAGGUGCUGGCACCCGUUCUGCGCCUCUUCCCUUUCCCUCAGCCCCACCCCUCCCUUCUCAGGAACUGAAAACGCCGCUGAGCCCUGCGGUCAUGGUGGGGGGGGGGGGGGGGUCCCCCCUGCCGCAGAGUCUGGUUAAGGCCUAAACUUGAAGGGAUCCUCCAGGCCUGUGGAGACCUUCUAAACCUCGGAGUUUUGAAUUUGAUGAUUUGUAUCUAUUCCAGGUUUCAGCAAAAAAAAUGUUUCUAAGGAAACAAGUUGGAGACGAUUUUUACUGAUAUAUACGCUGAUAUACAUAUACAUGUGUACAUACCCAUACAUAUCUACAUACACUGAUAUAUAUCAUAUACACACAUAUAUGCACUGACAUGUCAGCAUGCUUGAUAUACAUAUACAUGUAUACAGUCCGCAUAUAGACACACUGAUAUAUAUCACAUAUACAUACAUAUGUACACACAUAUACACUGAUAUAUAUCAUAUACA
rnacentral:lncRNA from 1 species